rnacentral:rRNA from 1 species
UACGUAGGGUGCAAGCGUUGUCCGGAAUUAUUGGGCGUAAAGAGCUCGUAGGCGGUUUGUUGCGUCGGCUGUGAAAUCCCGAGGCUCAACCUCGGGUCUGCAGUCGAUACGGGCAGGCUAGAGUUCGGUAGGGGAGACUGGAAUUCCUGGUGUAGCGGUGAAAUGCGCAGAUAUCAGGAGGAACACCGGUGGCGAAGGCGGGUCUUUGGGCCGAUACUGACGCUGAGGAGCGAAAGCGUGGGGAGCGAACAGG